GGCGAGAUGGCUCAGUUGGCUAGAGCAACCGGUUCAUACCCGGUAGGUCGUGAGUUCAAGUCUCACUCUCGCUACCA
rnacentral:tRNA from 1 species